rfam:Tetragenococcus muriaticus 3MR10-3 WGS_Sequence296_298, whole genome shotgun sequence.
UGUGGUGAUGAUAGCAAGAAGGAGACACCUGUUCCCAUGCCGAACACAGUCGUUAAGCUUCUUAGCGCCAAUUGUAGUGAGGGGGCUUCCCCUUGUGAGAGUCGGACAUCGCCACGC